rnacentral:rRNA from 1 species
UCCUACGGGAGGCAGCAGUGGGGAAUCUUGCACAAUGGGGGAAACCCUGAUGCAGCGAUGCCGCGUGAGUGAAGAAGGCCCUUGGGUUGUAAAACUCUUUCGUCGGGGAAGAAAAUGACUGUACCCGAAUAAGAAGGUCCGGCUAACUUCGUGCCAGCAGCCGCGGUAAU